rnacentral:rRNA from 1 species
ACGUAGGAGACGAGCGUUAUCCGGAUUUACUGGGCGUAAAGAGCGUGUAGGAGGCAAUUCAAGUUAGAUGUAAAAGCUCUCGGCUAAACUGAGAGAGGGCAUUUAAGACUGUAGAGCUAGAGGAUGGCAGAGGUAGAUGGAAUUCCGGGUGUAGUGGUGAAAUGCGUAGAUAUUCGGAAGAACACCGGAGGCGAAGGCGACCUACUGGGCGAUAACUGACGCUCAGGCGCGAAAGCGUGGGUAGCAAACAG